GGAGUUUGGUCCGUGUCUCAGUACCAAUGUGGGGGACCUUCCUCUCAGAACCCCUACUGAUCGUCGCCUUGGUGGGCCGUUACCCCGCCAACCGGCUAAUCAGACGCAUCCCCAUCCCUUACCGAUGAAUCUUUGCUCCUCGUUAGAUGCCCGCAAAGGAGAACAUAGGGCAUUAAUCCGACUUUCGCCGGGCUAUUCCCUAGUAAGGGGAAGGUUGGAUACGCGUUACUCACCCGUGCGCCGGUCGCCGCCAAGGUAUUGCUACCUCGCGCUGCCCCUCGACUUGCAUGUGUUAAGCCUGCCGCUAGCGUUCAUC
rnacentral:rRNA from 1 species